AGCGAACGCUGGCGGCAGGCUUAACACAUGCAAGUCGAGCGGGCGUAGCAAUACGUCAGCGGCAGACGGGUGAGUAACACGUGGGAACGUACCUUUUGGUUCGGAACAACUGAGGGAAACUUCAGCUAAUACCGGAUAAGCCCUAACGGGGAAAGAUUUAUCGCCGAAAGAUCGGCCCGCGUCUGAUUAGCUAGUUGGUGAGGUAAUGGCUCACCAAGGCGACGAUCAGUAGCUGGUCUGAGAGGAUGAUCAGCCACACUGGGACUGGGACACGGCCCAGGCUCCUACGGGAGGCAGCAGUGGGGAAUAUUGGACAAUGGGGGCAACCCUGAUCCAGCCAUGCCGCGUGAGUGAUGAAGGCCCUAGGGUUGUAAAGCUCUUUUGUGCGGGAAGAUAAUGACGGUACCGCAAGAAUAAGCCCCGGCUAACUUCGUGCCAGCCGCCGCAGUAA
rnacentral:rRNA from 1 species